CUUGACUGUGUUUACUGAUGGAUCUGGAAAAAUGGGGAAGUCAGUCAUAGUAUGGCAAGACCCACAUACUCAAAUUUGGCAGUCAGACAUUACUCGAUCCCUGGGAUCGCCACAGAUUGUUGAGCUAGCUGCAGUAGUCCAUGUAUUUCAAAACUGGGACAGCCCAAUUAACAUUGUUACUGAUUCUGCUUAUGUACAGAUCUUGUACAGCGUAUAGAGAAUUUGUGUCUGCAGGAUGUUAAUAAUCCACUGUUAUAUUCAUAAUGCACAGCCUUUUACAAUUAUUAAAUAAUCGCAAGACUUCUUAUUUUAUUAUACAUAUUCGAGUGCAUACUGCACUACCUGGACCUUUGGUUGAAGGCAAUCGAUGAGCAGAUGCGUUGACUCUGGCGGCUCAGGUGGUACCUAAUGUUUUUGAGGAAGCACAGCUUUCACAUGCAUUUUUCCACCAAAACACCAGGGCAAUACAAAACCAGUUUUCUUUAUCAAGGCGUCAGGCUAAAGACAUCACUGAGACUUGCUCUGAAUGCCAGGACUCCUUCUCUUCAACAGCUAGUGGUGACAACCCUCAGGGACUCACCUCGUUAGAAUUAUGGCAAUCUGACCUCACUCACCUGCUGCAUUUGGAAUAUAAAAAUAUGUGCAUGUGUCUGUUGAUACCUUUUCUUAAGCAGUGUUUGCGUCCUGCCAUACAGUGGGGAGUCAAGCCUCUGACCGGCAUUCCCCACUCAUCGAUUGGGCAGGCCAUUGUGGAGCGUAUGCAUGGCACACUAAAGCAUCUAUUACAACAA